rnacentral:rRNA from 1 species
UAGGGAAUCUUCCACAAUGGGCGAAAGCCUGAUGGAGCAACGCCGCGUGUGUGAUGAAGGGUUUCGGCUCGUAAAACACUGUUGUAAGAGAAGAAUGACAUUGAGAGUAACUGUUCAAUGUGUGACGGUAUCUUACCAGAAAGGAACGGCUAAAUACGUGCCCGA